GUAACAGGAAGCAGCUUGCUGUUUCGCUGACGAGUGGCGGACGGGUGAGUAAUGUCUGGGAAACUGCCUGAUGGAGGGGGAUAACUACUGGAAACGGUAGCUAAUACCGCAUAACGUCGCAAGACCAAAGAGGGGGACCUUCGGGCCUCUUGCCAUCGGAUGUGCCCAGAUGGGAUUAGCUAGUAGGUGGGGUAACGGCUCACCUAGGCGACGAUCCCUAGCUGGUCUGAGAGGAUGACCAGCCACACUGGAACUGAGACACGGUCCAGACUCCUACGGGAGGCAGCAGUGGGGAAUAUUGCACAAUGGGCGCAAGCCUGAUGCAGCCAUGCCGCGUGUAUGAAGAAGGCCUUCGGGUUGUAAAGUACUUUCAGCGGGGAGGAAGGGAGUAAAGUUAAUACCUUUGCUCAUUGACGUUACCCGCAGAAGAAGCACCGGCUAACUCCGUGCCAGCAGCCGCGGUAAUACGGAGGGUGCAAGCGUUAAUCGGAAUUACUGGGCGUAAAGCGCACGCAGGCGGUUUGUUAAGUCAGAUGUGAAAUCCCCGGGCUCAACCUGGGAACUGCAUCUGAUACUGGCAAGCUUGAGUCUCGUAGAGGGGGGUAGAAUUCCAGGUGUAGCGGUGAAAUGCGUAGAGAUCUGGAGGAAUACCGGUGGCGAAGGCGGCCCCCUGGACGAAGACUGACGCUCAGGUGCGAAAGCGUGGGGAGCAAACAGGAUU
rnacentral:rRNA from 1 species